rnacentral:rRNA from 1 species
UACGUAGGGGGCUAGCGUUGUCCGGAAUCAUUGGGCGUAAAGCGCGUGUAGGCGGCCCGGUAAGUCCGCUGUGAAAGUCGGGGGCUCAACCCUCGGAUGCCGGUGGAUACUGUCGGGCUAGAGUGCGGAAGAGGCGAGUGGAAGUUCCUGGUGUAGCGGUGAAUGACGCAGAUAUCAGGAGGAACACCAAUUGCGAAGGCAGCUCGCUGGGACGUGACUGACGCUGAGGCACGAAAGCGUGGGGAUCAAACAGG